rnacentral:rRNA from 1 species
UACGUAGGGGGCGAGCGUUGUCCGGAAUUAUUGGGCGUAAAGAGCGUGUAGGCGGUUCGGUAAGUCUGCCGUGAAAACCUGGGGCUCAACCCCGGGCGUGCGGUGGAUACUGCCGGGCUAGAGGGUGGUAGAGGCGAGUGGAAUUCCCGGUGUAGCGGUGAAAUGCGCAGAUAUCGGGAGGAACACCGGUGGCGAAGGCGGCGUCCUGGACCAAUACUGACACUGAAACGCGAAAGCCAGGGGAGCAAACGGG